GGUUCCAUGGUGUAAUGGUUAGCACUUUGGACUUUGAAUCCAGUGAUCCGAGUUCAAAUCUUGGUGGAACUG